GAGUAAUUGGUCUUAAGUCAAAGUUACUUGUAUUGUAUCCACCUGGAAUCUACUUGUCUUGUGAUCCUCAGUAAAUUAUACACAUCAGCAAGAAGCCUUGGGGUCUGUAGUGAGUAUUUGAAAGACAAACUUCUUAGUGGUGACCCCGAAGAUUCUUCUCCGUGUUCUAAACUUCUGCACUUCCCAUCUCGAGGGAUCUCAAAAUCGUUGAUUUUAAAGGUCUAACAGAGAAUCAGAUCAUAGUCCUGUGGACAGAACAUCAUGGACGCCCAUGUUACCUCUUCACAAACCUACAUUGAUGAAUUUAACCCCCAGGAAUACUUACAGACAUUCUUUGUGCCAGAGAAAGGAGUUCUUUUUGGAGAAUGGACCGAUUUUGCAUUGCGAAAUCUACAUGAAACCUUCACUAAAGGUGGAGUAAGAGGAGAUACUCUGCUUGAUUUUGGCACUGGAGCCACCAUUUAUCAACUCCUCUCAGCCUGUGAAGUAUUUGAUAAAAUCAUUGCCUCAGAUUUCCUUGAACAGAACCACGCUGAAUUUCAAAAAUGGCUGAACAAGGAUCCAGAUGCUUUUAACUGGACUCACAUCAUCAAAUGUGUAUGUGAGCUGGAAGGAAAUAGGGAGGAUUGCGAGAAAAAGGCUGAGAAACUCCGCUGUAAGGUGAAAGAAAUCCUGAAAUGUGACGCUUUCAAAAGAAACCCUUAUGACCCUGUCAUUGUGCCACCAGUUGAUUGUCUCCUGUCUUGCUUCUGUCUUGAAGCUCCUUGUAAAGACAUAAAGUCAUACUGUAGUGUUCUGAAAAAUUUCAAGGACUUGAUAAAACCUGGAGGUCACCUUUUGAUCUUAAGUGGACUGAAUGCUACUUAUUAUUACGCUGGUAAAAAGCGCUUUAGUAUAAUGAGCUCAAAAAAAGAAGAGCUGGAGAUGGCGUUUAAAGAAGCUGGUUAUAUUAUUGAAAAAGCUGCUUAUACUUCACGUAUUGAUAAAUCAAGGAUAGAUGUUGCUGAUUAUGAAGGCUACUAUUUUAUUCAUGCCCAUAAACCAAAGUAAGGCCAAAUUCUUCAGCCACCGUUUCUUGGAAAUACUGGUAUACAUCUAAAUGUUUUAGCUUCUAAACAUAUACCAUAAAAUAAGCGAGUUGAGAUACAUUCACCAUGCUAAAUGGGUGCUCCACUUGGUAACACUAUCCAUUUAUGAAAACAAUAGUAUAUGGUAGCCCUAUUUAUAUGACUGUGAUUAUAUGCUGUUUGGAGGAUGAAAUUGCAGGAAACUUGAUUUGAUUGAUAAAGAAAAAUGAAACAUUUACUUGGAGUCUACAACAACUUAUAUAUGAGAUAUUGUAACCUUAAAUGUCUGAAGUUAAAUUAUAAUUAAAGAAUAUAUAGAUUUUUUUAUUAAAAUGAAUGAAUUACUUACGGGUAAAAUUGUGAAUAUACUGUACUGUACAUUUCGUUAUUAAAGAAGUUACACUGUAAAGCAUUCUGUAUUAUUGUAUUAUACAAUAUGAUCUUUAUUAAAGACGAUGCGUAAUAAUAAUAAUUAGAAAUUAGAAAAGUUCUUUUCUUCAUAUUUCUUAUACUUUUUUAAAAUUAAAAAGUUCCAAAAAUUGUCCCUUAUUUGGGGCAGAAACUUGACGGUAUUUAUACACUCAUGGUAUCACUCAUGGGUAAAACUGUGGUUAUACUGUACAUUUCGUUAUUAA